UACGUAGGGGGCGAGCGUUGUCCGGAUUUAUUGGGCGUAAAGCGCGCGUAGGCGGCAAGGUAUGUCGUGCGUGAAAUCUCCCGGCUUAACUGGGAGGGCCGUGCGAAACUGCCUGGCUUGAGGUCGGAAGGGGAAGUGGAAUUCCGGGUGUAGUGGUGGAAUACGUAGAUAUCCGGAGGAACACCAGCGGCGAAGGCGGCUUUCUGGUCCGAUUCUGACGCUGAGGCGCGAAAGCGUGGGGAGCGAGUCCGG
rnacentral:rRNA from 1 species